UACGGAGGAUGCGAGCGUUAUCCGGAUUUAUUGGGUUUAAAGGGUGCGUAGGCGGGACCUUAAGUCAGCGGUAAAAUUGCGGUGCUCAACGCCGUAGAGCCGUUGAAACUGGAGGCCUUGAGUGCACACAGGGGUGCCGGAAUUCAUGGUGUAGCGGUGAAAUGCUUAGAUAUCAUGAAGAACUCCGAUCGCGAAGGCAAGUGUCCGGGGUGCAACUGACGCUGAGGCUCGAAAGUGCGGGUAUCAAACAGG
rnacentral:rRNA from 1 species